CCAAGAUGGAAAUGUGAGAUUCGGUAAAACCAAGAGCAUCAAGUGCAAACACGCCGUAGCUUCAAGUUCUGGAGACUCUAGUCUUCUCCUGCUGUCCCGGGAUGGCUCUGUCUUCGGUGUGGAACUCAGUGAAUCCGCCGAUCCAAGGUGAAGUCUUCGUCGUCGCAUAGUCAUUGCCAGGAGCGUGUCUAGCUUUUUGGGGACUCUAUGCAAAAUGUCCUGGCCAGGGCUGGACUGGGACCAAAACAUGGCCAUGGUAUUUUUGGCCAUGGCGGUCCAUCAUGAUUAUUAUCAGUAUUAUUAUUACCAAGUCUACUCAUAGCAUUAUUUGAAAACAAAGGCUAAAAAGGAAACACACACACACACAUUAUUUUUUGGGAUUUGUUGGUUUGUGAGAAAACGACCAGGUCAGAGCAGCUUGUGUUGCUUGCGUCUCAAAGCUGAUUCGAAAAAUGAAUCAGCUAUGAGACGUGCUAACCUAGGCGGAGUUUGCAGGGGCAGGGAGAGCACCCCAUGGUGGCUGAAACAGGUAUUUGCAUAAAAAUAAAAAAACAGAACAUUGUGAAAGCAUAAGCAGGACACAAAAAACGAAAAUGACUGCUGCAUCAGUCUAAACAUCUUUCCGUGCAAAGCUGCAAUAAAGAUUGCCUAAAUGGUAUUGGGUAUUUGGGUGGCAACUGAUUGUUCACUUUUACAUUAUAGUUUAGUCAAGACUGCCGUGCCGUGAUUGGCUUUACAUUUUUCAAAUUGUUAAAUUGUUAAAAAUGUAAUUUAAAAUCUGCUGUAAAAAUAAACAUACGUUUAUU